rnacentral:rRNA from 1 species
UACGGAGGGUGCAAGCGUUGUCCGGAAUCACUGGGCGUAAAGGGCGCGUAGGCGGCCUGGUAAGUAGGGGGUGAAAUCCUGCGGCUUAACCGCAGGGCUGCCUUCUAAACUGUCAGGCUUGAGCACGGUAGAGGCAGAUGGAAUUCCCGGUGUAGCAGUGGAAUGCGUAGAGAUCGGGAAGAACAUCAGUGGCGAAGGCAGCCAUCUGGACCGACACUGACGCUGAGGCGCGAAAGCGUGGGGAGCAAACAGG